AGUGAACGCUGGCGGUAGGCCUAACACAUGCAAGUCGAACGGCAGCACAGUAAGAGCUUGCUCUUACGGGUGGCGAGUGGCGGACGGGUGAGGAAUACAUCGGAAUCUACUUUUUCGUGGGGGAUAACGUAGGGAAACUUACGCUAAUACCGCAUACGACCUACGGGUGAAAGCAGGGGAUCUUCGGACCUUGCGCGAUUGAAUGAGCCGAUGUCGGAUUAGCUAGUUGGCGGGGUAAAGGCCCACCAAGGCGACGAUCCGUAGCUGGUCUGAGAGGAUGAUCAGCCACACUGGAACUGAGACACGGUCCAGACUCCUACGGGAGGCAGCAGUGGGGAAUAUUGGACAAUGGGCGCAAGCCUGAUCCAGCCUUACCGCGUGGGUGAAGAAGGCCUUCGGGUUGUAAAGCCCUUUUGUUGGGAAAGAAAAGCAGCAGGUUAAUACCCCGCUGUUCUGACGGUACCCAAAGAAUAAGCACCGGCUAACUUCGU
rnacentral:rRNA from 1 species